rnacentral:rRNA from 1 species
UUUUAUGAGAGUUUGAUCCUGGCUCAGGACGAACGCUGGCGGCGUGCCUAAUACAUGCAAGUCGAACGCUUCUUUUUCCACCGGAGCUUGCUCCACCGGAAAAAGAAGAGUGGCGAACGGGUGAGUAACACGUGGGUAACCUGCCCAUCAGAAGGGGAUAACACUUGGAAACAGGUGCUAAUACCGUAUAACAAUCAAAACCGCAUGGUUUUGAUUUGAAAGGCGCUUUCGGGUGUCGCUGAUGGAUGGACCCGCGGUGCAUUAGCUAGUUGGUGAGGUAACGGCUCACCAAGGCCACGAUGCAUAGCCGACCUGAGAGGGUGAUCGGCCACAUUGGGACUGAGACACGGCCCAAACUCCUACGGGAGGCAGCAGUAGGGAAUCUUCGGCAAUGGACGAAAGUCUGACCGAGCAACGCCGCGUGAG